rnacentral:rRNA from 1 species
AAAAACAUGUCCUUUUGUAUAAAUAUAAGGUCUGACCUGCCCAAUGAUUUAAUUUAAUGGCCGCGGUAUAUUAACUGUGCUAAGGUAGCAUAAUCAUUUGUCUUUUAAUUAAAGGCUAGAAUGAAUGGUUGGACGAAACAUUAGCUUUCUUUAACUUAAUUUAUGAACUUAAUUUUUUAGUUAAAAAGCUGAAAUUUAUUUGAGGGACGAGAAGACCCUAUAGAUCUUUAUAUAUAAAAUUAUUAUUUAUAUUAGUAUAUAAAUUAUUAUAAUAACUUAUUGUAUUUGGUUGGGGUGACUAUAGAAUUUUUAUAACUUCUAUUAUUUAUGUCAUAAAUUAGUGUAUUUUUGAUCCAAAUUUUUUGAUUAAAAGAUUAAGUUACCUUAGGGAUAACAGCGUAAUUUUUUCGGAGAGCCCAAAUCGAUGAAAAAGUUUGCGACCUCGAUGUUGGAUUAAAAUAAGUUUUAGGUGUAGAAGUUUAAAAACUAGGUCUGUUCGACCUUUAAUUUUUUACAUGAUCUGAGUU